rnacentral:rRNA from 1 species
UACGGAGGGUGCAAGCGUUAGUCGGAAUUACUGGGCGUAAAGGGUGCGUAGGCGGUUUUAUAAGUCAUAUGUGAAAAACCAAAGCUCAACUUUGGCAGUGCAUCUGAAACUGUAAGACUCGAGGUAAAGCGGAGAAAACGGAAUUCCACGUGUAGCGGUGAAAUGCGUAGAUAUGUGGAAGAACACCUGUGGCGAAAGCGGUUUUCUAGCUAACACCUGACGCUGAGGCACGAAAGCAAGGGGAGCAAACAGG